ACCAAAAAUUGGUUCUGAAGUUUAUAGGGCUUAACCCAUUUAUUUUGCUUCAAACAAUUUUUAUACAACUGCAAAAUCGAACUUUUACGCUAAAACUGAAAAUCGAGUUUUUUCUAAAAAGUAAAAACCACAAAAUUGAAUUUUCUGCUAAAAUCGAAAAAAAUAAAUUUUCCCACUAAAACAAAAAAAAUUAAAUUUUCCUUCAAAAUGAAAAUUGAGUAUUCUCACAAAAACCACAAAAUCGAGUAUUCUCACAAACCAAAAAAAUUUAUAAAAGAUUAUAAAUACAUUUAUAAAAAUUUUAUAAAAUCAAGGAAGCUACAGCAAUCGCUAUAUGGGCCUUAACCCAAAACGUUGACUGCUGUAAGCAUUGGGACAGUCUCUAUAAGGAGAAUCUUGAAGCUAGUGUUGCUCUUCUUAAAAGGCUUGUAGAGGAAUGGAAGGAGCAUUCCCUCAAGCUAUCAGAAUCACCGAGUAAUACUGCUGCUCUCAAUCGAACUAUGAAGAGCUUCAGGCUUAAGAACGAGGAAGCAAUCACUGAAGGAAGAGGCAAAGGUUCUCCAUAAAAAGAAGCUGACAAGUCCUGCAAAGUGAUAUCAGGGAGACUCUCCCGUGGAAGUGGCUGCCUCAAAGGAACAGCCAUUACUGUUGUGGUUUUAGCAGCUGCCGCAGCUGUUCUGUCUUCCAACCCUGAGGCGACGUCCGAGCUGAAGAGCCUGGUGGACUCAUUGGAGAUGCACCAAUACUAUAAUCCAGUCAUUACAGCUUUUAAUAAUUAAGAGAGGAGAGAAACAAAAACAACCUGAGGAUGAUAACCAGAGGUUAACUCUGAUUGUAGACUGUUUAAAUUUGAGUCAAAAGACAAUUUUGUUUCUUUUUGAUAAAAAAGAUAAUUUUGUUUCUUUCCAUCUUUUUUUUUCCAUAAAUGACAAUAAAGUUAUUUCUUUUUUAUUAUAUGCCUCGAGUAAAAAAAGAGCCUGCACAAGUUGAUUUAUUUGACUAAUGAGUGUAUAUACAUUCACAAUCAUCUUAAUAGUCGUAGUCUUCUGGCUUUGCAAAUGGGUACUUGAGGUAACCGUUCUUGAUAGUGGAAGGGUCUUUUGGUUUGUCCCAAGGAUACUUCAUAGAUGGAUCUCUUGGGAACUUUCUGAAGUUGAGAAAUGGUGCC